rnacentral:rRNA from 1 species
UAAUACGUAGGGUGCGAGCGUUAAUCGGAAUUACUGGGCGUAAAGCGUGCGCAGGCGGUGAUGUAAGACCGAUGUGAAAUCCCCGGGCUUAACCUGGGAACUGCAUUGGUGACUGCAUUGCUGGAGUAUGGCAGAGGGGGGUGGAAUUCCACGUGUAGCAGUGAAAUGCGUAGAGAUGUGGAGGAACACCGAUGGCGAAGGCAGCCCCCUGGGCCAAUACUGACGCUCAUGCACGAAAGCGUGGGGAGCAAACAGGAUUAGAUACCCUGGUAGUCCACGCCCUAAACGAUGUCAACUGGUUGUCGGGCCUUCAUUGGCUUGGUAACGUAGCUAACGCGUGAAGUUGACCGCCUGGGGAGUACGGUCGCAAGAUU